GAUGAACGCUGGCGGCGUGCUUAACACAUGCAAGUCGAACGAAGCUGCCCAAAGGAAGUUUUCGGAUGGAAUUUAGGUAGACUUAGUGGCGGACGGGUGAGUAACGCGUGGAUAACCUGCCUUAUACAGGGGGAUAACGGAGAGAAAUUUCCGCUAAGACCGCAUAAGACCACAGCACCGCAUGGUGCAGGGGUAAAAUAUUUAUAGGUAUAAGAUGGAUCCGCGUCCGAUUAGCUAGUUGGUGAGGUAAAGGCCCACCAAGGCGACGAUCGGUAGCCGGCCUGAGAGGGUGAACGGCCACAUUGGGACUGAGACACGGCCCAAACUCCUACGGGAGGCAGCAGUGGGGAAUAUUGGACAAUGGGGGAAACCCUGAUCCAGCGACGCCACGUGAGUGAAGAAGUAUUUCGGUAUGUAAAGCUCUAUCAGCAGGGAAGAAAAUGACGUACCUGACUAAGAG
rnacentral:rRNA from 1 species